UCGUGCUAGAUGGGGAAUUAGCGGUGCCCUGUAACCUGCAAUCCGCUAUAGCAGGAUCGAGGCUUGUAUGCGGCAAAUGCUGAGCUUCGUACUCAAAUUAAGUGGUGAUGAAGUUUCAAUUCUUCGCAAUGGUUUUACACUAAACCCCGUCAGGACCGGAAGGGAGCAGCGGUAGGUGACUAGAAUUGUGUGCCGGAGAACCCCUGGAAUGGAGCCAACUGGUUCGGUGUAUGUUGUCCCCAGAUUUGUCAAAUUCGAGUGCACGA
rnacentral:SRP_RNA from 1 species